rnacentral:lncRNA from 12 species
UUUUUAUUAUUUUCUAUUGCUCCUUCCCUAAGCUUGCCUUUUUGUUUUAAGGUGUCAAAGCAAGUUCUAUUCUUUUCCUCCCACCAGAUUUGCCUUCCACAGUUCUGUCUAUGCCACCUUCCUACCGACCUGGUGUGACACUGAAACUUUACUCAGCUGCCAGGUGCCCAGAGGCGCUGCUCAGAGAGCCCCGUGCCACCUCCCCUCCUGUCACUCUCAUAGUGCAGAAGAUCAACCCCUGUGUGAUGGAGCUCUGUAGGUUCUUUCAGCUGUGCCUCUGUGUUGGUCACAGAAGAUAUUCCAGGAAGGAAGCCAUGAGGUACUGUGUUGAAUACUAUUCCUGGUUUGUGAAAAAUGCAAGUUAUGUCUGCGAAAAAGUCAAAAGAGUUGCUUACUCCCACACAUUAAAGCAAAAAUGCCUUAAAAACAUCUGUACAUCAGUUUAGAGCACUGAGAAAUUUUACUGCAAGUUGGAAGACUGGUGGCAGUUUUAGUUUUCUUUUUGAUUUCUCAGUGUAAAAAUCAGAAAGCAACAUGUUAUUUGCAAAUAUUUGAAAUCAGACAAGCUAUUAACCAGAUGUUAACCUAGAAAUGUCUCCUCCUCCAAGGCAUUGUAAAAAUAAUGUGUAAAAAAAGAGAUAUUUUAUACAAGUGUUGUAACUGCA